rnacentral:miRNA from 2 species
AUCCCCAGAUACAAUGGACAA